rnacentral:rRNA from 1 species
AUCUCCAAUAGCGUAUAUUAAAGUUGUUGCAGUUAAAAAGCUCGUAGUUGAAUUUCUGGUCAUUCUUAGUGGCGGCUUCGGUCCUGCUAAGGUUGGCCAUCCGUUUGCAAGCUGCUCUCGGCCUUCACUGGUUCGGAGUAGUGAGCUGACAUUUUACUUUGAAAAAAUUAGAGUGUUUCAGGCAGGCUUUUGCCCGAAUACAUUAGCAUGGAAUAAUGGAAUCGGACUUUGAUCCAUUUGGUUGGUUAUUGGAUCUGAGUAAUGGUUAAUAGGGACAGUUGGGGGCAUUAGUAUUUAAUUGUCAGAGGUGAAAUUCUUGGACCGUCUGAAGACUAACUACUGCGAAAGCAUUUGCCAAGAGUGUUU